rfam:Triticum aestivum genome assembly, contig: Triticum_aestivum_CS42_TGACv1_scaffold_115746_2AS
CUUAUACUCCCUCCGUUCCGAAUUACUUGUCGCCGGUAUAGAUGUAUCUAGAUGUAUUUUAGUUCUAGAUACAUCCAUUUUUGCGAUAAGUAAUUUGGAACGGAGGGAGUAUCUU